rnacentral:piRNA from 1 species
ACCUGACCUCGCACCGGCGCAUACA